UACGUAGGGGGCAAGCGUUGUCCGGAUUUAUUGGGCGUAAAGAGCGUGUAGGCGGUUUGGUAGGUCCGUUGUGAAAACUCGAGGCUCAACCUCGAGACGCCGAUGGAAACCAUCAGACUAGAGUCCGGAAGAGGAGAGUGGAAUUCCUGGUGUAGCGGUGGAAUGCGCAGAUAUCAGGAGGAACACCGGUGGCGAAGGCGGUUCUCUGGGCAUUACCUGACGCUGAGGAGCGAAAGCAUGGGGAGCGAACAGG
rnacentral:rRNA from 1 species